rnacentral:rRNA from 1 species
UACAGAGGUCCCGAGCGUUGUUCGGAUUCACUGGGCGUAAAGGGUGCGUAGGUGGCUUGACAAGUUUGAUGUGAAAUCCCCGGGCUCAACCUGGGAACUGCAUUUGUGACUGCAUGGCUAGAGUACGGCAGAGGGGGAUGGAAUUCCGCGUGUAGCAGUGAAAUGCGUAGAUAUCAGGAGGAAUACCGAUGGCGAAGGCAGGUCUCUGGGCUGACACUGACGCUCAUGCACGAAAGCGUGGGGAGCAAACAGG